AGCGAACGCUGGCGGCAGGCUUAACACAUGCAGGUCGAGCGGGCAUCCUUGUGGUGUCAGCGGCAGACGGGUGAGUAACGCGUGGGAACGUGCCCUUCGGUUCGGAAUAACUCAGGGAAACUUGAGCUAAUACCGGAUACGCCCUUUUGGGGAAAGGUUUACUGCCGAAGGAUCGGCCCGCGUCUGAUUAGCUAGUUGGUGAGGUUAUGGCUCACCAAGGCGACGAUCAGUAGCUGGUCUGAGAGGAUGAUCAGCCACACUGGGACUGAGACACGGCCCAGACUCCUACGGGAGGCAGCAGUGGGGAAUAUUGGACAAUGGGGGCAACCCUGAUCCAGCCAUGCCGCGUGAGUGAUGACGGCCUUAGGGUUGUAAAGCUCUUUUCUCCGGGACGAUAAUGACGGUACCGGAGGAAUAAGCCCCGGCUAACUUCGUG
rnacentral:rRNA from 1 species